GAGGAGUGAUGAUGCUGAGAAGUGGUUUCGCUUUUUAAGCUGAUAUCAUGUGAUGUCCUAUCUUCUCUUGGCUGUCUGACCAA
rnacentral:snoRNA from 1 species